rnacentral:rRNA from 1 species
CAAUGGGGAAACCCUGAUGCAGCGACGCCGCGUGAGUGACGAAGGUUUUCGGAUCGUAAAACUCUGUUGUGAGGGAAGAACAAGUACCAAUUAACUACUGGUACCUUGACGGUACCUCACCAGAAAGCCACGGCUAACUACGUGCCAGCAGCCGCGGUAAUACGUAGGUGGCAAGCGUUGUCCGGAAUUAUUGGGCGUAAAGCGCGCGCAGGCGGUCCCUUAAGUCUGAUGUGAAAGCCCACGGCUCAACCGUGGAGGGUCAUUGGAAACUGGGGGACUUGAGUGCAGAAGAGGAAAGUGGAAUUCCAUGUGUAGCGGUGAAAUGCGUAGAGAUGUGCGGAACACCAGUGGCGAAGGCGACUUUCUGGUCUGUAACUGACGCUGAGGCGCGAAAGCGUGGGGAGCAAACAGGAUUAGAUACCCUGGUAGUCCACGCCGUAAACGAUGAGUGCUAAGUGUUAGGGGGUUUCCGCCCCUUAGUGCUGCAGCUAACGCAUUAAGCACUCCGCCUGGGGAGUACGGCCGCAAGGCUGAAACUCAAAGGAAUUGACGGG